GACUUCAAGUCACACAGGUGAGAUAUACUGUACUGAUGGAGGAGAAUACAAGUCCACACAGGUGAGAUAUACUGUACUGAUGGAGGAGACUUCAAGUCCUCACAGGUGAGAUAUACUGUACUGAUGGAGGAGAAUACAAGUCCACACAGGUGAGAUAUACUGUACUGAUGGAGGAGAAUACAAGUCCACACAGGUGAGAUAUACUGUACUGAUGAGGAGACUUCAAGUCACACAGGUGAGAUAUACUGUACUGAUGGAGGAGACUUCAAGUCCUCACAGGUGAGAUAUACUGUACUGAUGGAGGAGAAUACAAGUCCACACAGGUGAGAUAUACUGUACUGAUGGAGGAGACUUCAAGUCCUCACAGGUGAGAUAUACUGUACUGAUGGAGGAGACUUCAAGUCCUCACAGGUGAGAUAUACUGUACUGAUGGAGGAGACUUCAAGUCCACACAG